rnacentral:misc_RNA from 1 species
AUUUUAUAUAUAUAUAUAUAUUAUUCAGUUCAUGCCUCCUUUAAAUCUACCUUGCUAUCUUGUGCUCUCUACUUUAUCUAAGGGGUCCUUUAAAUUUUUCUUUGUAGCAACUUCUUCAAUUUCCUUAUUCUCACAUUUUACUUUUGGUUGACUCUUGUUAUGACUUGGCUCAUUUCUCCUCGAACUUUCAAAAGGUGCUACCAAUUAAACUCUAAUUCUAAAGUCUAAUAAAGCUAAAGAGUUGAGAGCUUGAAUUCCAAAAUUACUUAGGAACAACUUGAUCUUAUGUCAACUGAAAGGAAACUAUCAUAUUGACUGCUUAAAUUUCCAAGAAGAUAAGGAUUUAGGAAGCAUAACUACUUGAAGAGAACAAAGUCUGAAAAUUAACUGUUUCAAGGAAUCCAAGAAGGUGUUUUUUCAGAUAUUCCUUCUCUUAGUUCCUAAAAAGCCAUAUGGUAUUACUAUAUAUAGCAUGCAGAAACCGCAAUCAAUUAACUACUUAGGAAAACACUUGAUAUAAAAAGGAACUGUAGCUAAUUCCAAUAGGAAUAGAAGUACAUAUUUUAAAAUAUUCCAUCAAAAUUUUAAACCAAAAAUUAAAACACUGCCAUUAAAAAUGUUAAACCAAAAAUAAAAUGACUGGAGUCCCUGACAUAAAUGUCUUACCAGUAAGUUUUGAGGCUUGAUG